GUGAAGUUCAGUGGACAGAGGCAGGUCACACUGAAUAUACACACAUAUAGUAAGGAAUGAGGGGAAUUUCACCCCAACAGAACAAACAAGUUGUUAACAGACAAAAUGCAGGCAAUCUUCAAAGGAAUAAAACUUAAUUUUGAGAGAGAGACUCCACCUGUCAAUGAAGACAGACAUAAACUGUACAAAGCUACUACGUCACAUCAGAGACAUUCUUUCUACAGACUGCAAAUGGUGAUAGAGGGCAAGUGGAAGGACACCAUCCUUGGCUGGGUCGGUCUGUGUUCCUCCGGCGCCGGAACCACCUCUCCACUUUCCUCACCGGCAGGUCACACUGUUUGGCUAAAGUGAUCAGCUCACCCUGAAAAACAGCCAGCCCACCAGCCUGUAUAUCACUUGUUCUUUUUCAUCAUCUCUGGGAAAUUCCUUUGGCAUCACUGGCUACAGAAACAUUCAAAGAUGUACCAAGACCAAUGAAAAAGAUAUGUUUCUACAAUGAAAGAAGAGCCAGGAGCAAGCGUGCUUGCUAGCUACUUUCCAACAAGACACACCGUUAUCACAAAAGCUAUGUGAAGGACCUGAUUAGUUUCGGUGGCACUGCUGCAACCGGCAGACUGCUGGAUGGCAGAGGAAUAUAGCCAUUGUUGGGAAUUUUGGCUUUUAGCUCUGAUUGUUCUUAAGAAAUGUUUCAAUUACGUAUUAUGAUUGGUUUAAUAUCAAAGGGGUUAACAGUAAGGUUGAACCAGCAGGUCUUGUGCUAAGAACAAUGACACAGUAUUUCAAUGAUACCCAUAAGUAUACCGAAAUUUAGAAAACAUUUACCUUAAACUCUGCACUAGGUCUUGGUUCUUAUAUUAAGCAGUUCCUUGAAGGAGGCCUGAUCUUUCUUUUCCAAAGAUAAGUCAUUUGAUACAAGCUCCUCUGCAGAGGAAGAUGUAAUCAAGUUCUGUUGAUGAAGAACCACCUUACUGCAGCUUCUUAUCAGUCCACAUCAGGAACUGAAAGGUCUGAAAUCUUCCAGACCCAUUAAAAGGGAAAAGAAUGUUUCUGCCAGGUGUCAAGGCAGCUUGCCAACAAGUUUUUUAUUGAAAAACUAUUUAAAAUAUCCUGACUGAUUUCUUAAUUUUGUUUAAUCCCUGUCUUCUCUCUCUUUCCUGCUGGUUUGUUAUGGUCAUAACAUAAAAUCUUACUAUAACAGAAACAAGCCAGUUGCAGUUGAUGAAGACAGGGUGUAAUUAACCAAGGUUACAAUUACUUUGUUGUUGAGGUUUUGAGUUUAACCAUGAAUUAUGGGACCAAUCCUACUUUUAUGAACAUCAUUGGGAAAUCAAGGCCUGAAAUUCUUCCUAAGGGACGCUUGUACAUGUUGGAUGUAUGCUCUGACUCAGAUUUCAGUUAAAUCUUGUUCCAAGCACAACGCUAAGACAAUGAUGCUUGUAUGAUUUCAACAUCACAGAUUCAUAGUCUCUGUUGCAGGGAUGGUCUCAUCAUGGCAGUUUAUCAGCUCUCUGGAAGAUGGACAGAGAAAGUCUGAGGACUAAACUGUACCACUCUCCACAGCUAGGUAAGGCAAGGCACAGUCAGCGAGAUGAGCUCCUCUCGCUUCAUGGUUUACACGGGAAAGUUCACGCUAAGGCAUUUUAUUCAGUAAUCACCAAAGAACAGUCUGUCUUCUGUGAAACCUGCUUAAGUCGAAACUAAAUGGAUUAAUCAUGAAGGGGCAUAAACUGAUACUCCCCCACCCUGCAAGACAGUGGGCUACACGCCUUAUGCAGAGGCUUUCAGAGUUAGCAUGAGAUACAAGAAAUAAUUUAACUUUGGAGGCUGUUGUGUUUUUUUUCUCCCACAAAUGUUUUUGAAUUUAUAAGGGUGCCACUCUGCAAAUAUCUUCCAAUACUAAGAAACACAGAAGCAGCGAGAGCAGCAACCAGAACUUCUAUUCUUUGAACUGCACAAUCUCUUUUAGCCUCAUGCUUCUUUUAGCAGAGGGCUAUCCCUGUGCUCCCGGAAUAGUCUCUACCUUCUCUUGCUUACAGGAGAACGCUUCACAUCGAUUAAACUGGCUGUUCCAUGUGAUACGAGAUCUCAAGUCACUACGGUGCUACUGUCCAAACUGAGCCAAGUCAGUUCACAGUUUUCAAUUAAAUACUAUGACGUGUCCCACAUCUUUGCACAAAAAACCUGCCUAUAGGACCCAACAGAAAGCUGUUUUCAGAUACUUCCUGCUGACUGAUCAACAACAAAAAUCUCAGUGCAAA